AAAGCGCGCGCAGGUGGUUUGUUAAGUUGGAUGUGAAAGCCCCGGGCUCAACCUGGGAACUGCAUCCAAAACUGGCAAGCUAGAGUAUGGUAGAGGGUGGUGGAAUUUCCUGUGUAGCGGUGAAAUGCGUAGAUAUAGGAAGGAACACCAGUGGCGAAGGCGACCACCUGGACUGAUACUGACACUGAGGUGCGAAAGCGUGGGGAGCAAACAGGAUUAGAUACCCUUGU
rnacentral:rRNA from 1 species